ACUUGUAGGCAUGCUCAUUACAGCCUCAUCUGAAAGUUUUCCUGGCCAGGGCAGCUUUCAGAUGUGGCUGUAAUGAGCAUGCUCCCAGC
ensembl:miRNA Mir693 microRNA 693